AUAGCGGAGAAAGAAACCAACAGGGAUUGCCCUAGUAACGGCGAGUGAAGCGGCAACAGCUCAAAUUUGAAAUCUGGCGUCUUUGGCGUCCGAGUUGUAAUUUGCAGAGGGCGCUUUGGCAUUGGCAGCGGUCCAAGUUCCUUGGAACAGGACGUCACAGAGGGUGAGAAUCCCGUACGUGGUCGCUAGCCUUUACCGUGUAAAGCCCCUUCGACGAGUCGAGUUGUUUGGGAAUGCAGCUCUAAAUGGGAGGUAAAUUUCUUCUAAAGCUAAAUACUGGCCAGAGACCGAUAGCGCACAAGUAGAGUGAUCGAAAGAUGAAAAGCACUUUGGAAAGAGAGUUAAAAAGCACGUGAAAUUGUUGAAAGGGAAGCGCUUGCAGCCAGACUUGCCUGUAGUUGCUCAUCCGGGUUUUUACCCGGUGCACUCUUCUACGGGCAGGCCAGCAUCAGUUUGGGCGGUUGGAUAAAGGUCUCUGUCAUGUACCUCCUCUCGGGGAGAACUUAUAGGGGAGACGACAUGCAACCAGCCCGGACUGAGGUCCGCGCAUCUGCUAGGAUGCUGGCGUAAUGGCUGUAAGCGGCCCGUCUUGAAACACGGACCAAGGAGUCUAACAUCUAUGCGAGUGUUUGGGUGUCAAGCCCGAGCGCGUAAUGAAAGUGAACGGAGGUGGGAACCUUUCGGGGUGCACCAUCGACCGAUCCUGAUGUCUUCGGAUGGAUUUGAGUAAGAGCAUAGCUGUUGGGACCCGAAAGAUGGUGAACUAUGCUUGAAUAGGGUGAAGCCAGAGGAAACUCUGGUGGAGGCUCGCAGCGGUUCUGACGUGCAAAUCGAUCGUCAAAUUUGGGCAUAGGGGCGAAAGACUAAUCGAACUAUCUAGUAGUGGU
rnacentral:rRNA from 1 species